rnacentral:lncRNA from 1 species
CCUCUGGCACGCUUUUAGGUUUUCUUGUUUUUUUUUUAGGUCUUCUUGUUUUGUCUUCUUUUCUUGAUCCCUGCGCCUCUGUUUCUGGAAAAAAUAUGGAGAAUGAUUUAGCCCAAUUAUCAAUUAAUGAAGAGGAAGAUGAUGUUAUCCAAAUACAAGAAAAUCCUGGAACGGAAAGAACAGAAGAGUUUCUUCAAUUGGUGGGGUGUUUUCUUACAGCAAGUAUAAUUCAUUUUCCUGCUAUGAAAAGUACUAUGGCGAAUCUGUGGCAUCCUGUUCGUGGAGUUCGUAUUCGAGAUCUGGGGGAAAAAAGGUUUUUAUUCCAAUUUUUUCAUUAUAUGGAUCUUGAAAGGGUGUUGAAAGGCUCCCCAUGGACAUUCAACAAUCAUCUGUUAAUUCUUUAUAAUUUAAUAUGGGAGGAUGAUCCCAUGAAGGUCCCUUUAGUAUUGACCCCUUUUUGGGUUCAAUUCAUGAUGUUCCAAUUGGUUUGUUUUCUGAAAAUCUAGCAGCUAAUCUGGGGAAUUUUCUAGGAAAUUUCAUGGAAUAUGAUGGGACUAAUUUAGAGAAGGAAAACAGGAAUUUUAUGAGGAGACGUCCUCUGAAAAGAAAGAAGCUACUCGAAUACAGGGGGAGAAAGUCCUAUGUCCGGUUUAAAUAUGAAAUAUUGACACUUUUUUGUUUCUUUUGUGGAAAAUUGGGUCACAAUGAUUCUUUUGUGAGGCAAAAAUGUUGAUUGGAGUAGAAAUCGUAGAAAUGGGGUGGGAUUUAUCAAUAAGAGCACAGUCCCGAAGAGCUCUGUCCAUGAAUAGUAUCUGGCUACGAGAAGAGGGGGAAGGGGCUGUAGCUGGAAUUCUGGAAGGAAAUAGGGGUUGUGCAAGGGGACUACGGAGAAUGGAACGCAAUAAGAGUUAUGGGAAGGCAGUAGAUCCAAUUCUGGGUUUUAAUGUGGAAGGUGACACUUUGUGCGAAGAUGAAAAGCAGGUUAACUCAUUGAUGGACCAUGGCCAGUAUGCGAUGGAACAUGAUUUGGAGGAUGAAGCUUUAGUGGGAGAAGAAGGUAAAAAAAGAGCCAGAACGGAGAAUGAUGAUUUACUACAGAAUGAGGGGAUUACCUCCCAGGUAAGAAGUAGGAGAUCGAGAGACCUUAACCAAUUGAUAUCGGCGGCUGCCAAGAGGCAAGCCGACCGGGAAUUAUGAAAAUCCUGUGUUAGAAUGUCCGUGGAUUGGGGAGUUCACGGACAUUUAGAAGACUUCGGCACUCGCUGAAGACUUACGACCCCCAGAUUAUCUUCUUUAUGGAGACGAAAAUUGGCAGAAUUCAAAUGAAGAAAGUUAGGCAAAGAUGUGGUUUUGUGAGUGGUAUAGAGGUGGAUCCAGAGGGAACUAGAGGAGGGCUUUGUUUGGCUUGGAGGUAUGAGGUCAAUAUCACUCUGAAAAGCUUCUCUAAAAGACAUAUUGAUGUGAUAGUGCAUGAUAAUGAAAGGCAGGUUAUGUGGCGAUUUACAGGAUUUUAUGGAAUUCCGUAUGCACGAGAUAAAGAAGAUUCAUGGGCUAUUUUGAAAAACCUUUAUAAUGGAGAGAAUAAUCCAUGGUUAGUAUGUGGAGAUUUUAAUGAAAUCAUGUAUGGUUUUGAGAAGAAAUGAGGUACACCUCGAGACUAGAGAAGGAUGUAAUAGUUCCGGAAAUCAUUGGAAUUAUGCUAACUGAAUGAUGUAGGAUAUGUGGGUAGAUAGUUUACAUGGGAACGAGGCAAUCUACCAGAGACAAAUAUACGAGAACGAUUGGAUAGAAGGGUAGCAAAUACGGAGUGAAUUUCGUUGUUCUCUAAUAUAAAAGUUCAGCAUUUGGUGCACUCUUUUUCCGAUCAUUGUCCUCUCCUUAUUGAUACAAAGAAGGAAAUCAGAGAGAGGAAUGAAAAAAGUUUCAGAGUUGAAAACUGGUGGUUUUUGGAGGAUUCAUUUGUCGACACUGCCGAACAUUUAUGGAAGAUGUCAACAGGUAAUUUCCUACAGAAACUGGAUUUCAUAAAGAAGUGGCUGGAAGAUUGGGCAGGAAAAAUUUUAAAGAACAAAAAAGGGAAAAAGAAUUAUUUAACAGCAAAAGUAUCUAAAUUACUUGAAGCUGAAAGGGAUGAUAGCAACAUGGCAGAGUUGAUUAAUACGAAAAUCCAACUUUGGAGAUUGAGAAAGAUGAAAGAUAUUGGGAGCAAAGGGCCAGACUGAAUUGGCUCAAAUUAGGGGAUAAAAACACUGCCUUUUUUCAUAGCCAAGCAACUCAGAGGCGAAAGAAAAACAUGAUCAAGAGUUUGCAGUCCGGAUAUGGUAGGGCCACGGAAAAUCUACAAGAAAUGGAAGAAAUUGCUAGGUCUUACUUUCAGAAUCUUUUUUCAUCAGAGAAUCAAGGAAAUUGUGAUUUUCUACUCUCGGGUAUAAAUCGUUGUAUUAAUGACAAGGAUAAUAAAAGGCUCACCCACAUUAUACAAGGGAAGAAAUUCGUGAAGCUCAUUUUGAAAUGGGACCUACUAAGGCGCCAGGUGAAGAUGGACUCCCAGCCAUAUUUUAUCAGAAGUGCUGGCAUUUUAUUGGUGAGGAUACAGUUUCAUUUUGUCUUCUACUCUUAAACGGUGAUAUGGAGGUCAGUGUUAUUAAUUCAACUCAUAUUGUGCUCAUUCCAAAAAUUAAUAAUCCCACAAAUAUGUCACAGUUUAGGCCUAUCAGUUUAUGCAAUGUUGUUUACAAAGUUAUUGCGAAAACUAUAGCGAACAGAUUUAGAAGGGUGAUUGAUAAAUGCAUUGAUAAGGCUCAAAGUGCUUUUGUCCCAGGAAGAUUAAUCUCUGAUAAUAUCUUGCUUGCUUAUGAGAUACUGCAUUUCUUAAAGCAAAAAAGAGUGGGGAAAAAGGGUUACAUGGCAGUAAAACUGGAUAUGAGCAAGGCUUAUGAUAGGGUGGAAUGGAUUUUUAUCAAAUAGUUAAUGUCUCGAAUGGGAUUCACUCAAAGUUGGAUUGAUAAUAUUAUGAAAUGCUUGACUACUGUCUCAUAUAAGGUUGUGAUCAAUGGCAAUGUUAGAAUGAAAUUCUAUCCAGAAAGAGGACUGGGACAAGGGGACCCUUUGAGCCCAUUUAUUUUCCUUAUAUGUGGAGAAGGCCUUUCUAGUCUCAUGAGAACAGCAGUAGAGGAAGGAUGAUUGUAUCCUUUCCAGAUAUCGCACUUAUUAUUUGCAGAUAAUUUUAUCCUUUUUGGGGAGGCAACAUGUAGAAGGGCUAAUUCAUUCAAGGCAAUAUUAAGCGAAUAUAGAAGGUGCUCGGGGCAAUGUGUGAACUUUGAGAAAUCAACCAUCUUUUUCAGCAAAAACACUAUUGAGAAGGAAAGAAGACGGAUCGUUAAUUUGCUUAGAGUCCGAAGCUCAAAUGAGCUUGAACGUUACCUUGGUUUGCCAAACAUGGUGGGGCGACAAAAGAAGGUUUCCUUUCAAGCAUUGAAAGACAGAAUAAAACAACGAAUUGACAAUUGGAGUAUGAGAUUUUUAUCGCAGGGUGGAAAAGAAGUGUUUAUCAAAGCUGUUUUGCAAGCUAUUCCGACUUACUCAAUGGCUUGCUUCUUACUUCUGAAAUCCUUAUGUGACGAAAUGGAAGCAAUUAUCGCGAGAUGUUGGUGGAAAAAAUGUCAGGGAAAAGGGGGAAUUCAUUGGAGCUCGUGGAAGAAUUUAUGCAGUUUAAAAGAGAAUGGAGGUUUAGGCUUUCGUAAUCUCAGUCAAUUCAAUAUUGCAUUACUUGCCAAACAGGGGUGGCGUCUUUUUAAUUAUCCGAAUUCGCUUUUAGCCAGGGUUUUUAAAGCAAAGUAUUAUCCAAAUUCGAAUUUUCUAAGUGCAGAGUUGGGGAAUUUACCUUCCCUUACCUGGAAGAGUAUCUGGGCUGCAAAGGGACUUCUCACUCAAGGCCUGUGUUGGAGAGUUGGGAAAGGAAACAAAAUUUCUAUUUGGAAUGACCGGUGGAUCCCGGAGAUCGAACCUAGUAUAUGACAGAACAGUCAUCAAAAUGGAGAGCUGGAAAAUGUAUCAGAUCUAAUUGAUGGAAUACAUAAGACGUGGAAAGUGGAGGUUGUUACUCAUACCUUUCAACUGGCCAUUGCGCGAAGAAUAUUACAGAUCCCACUUGCAACUACAGAUAGUGAAGAUUUGCUCGUUUGGAAAGGUGAACCGUCUGGAGAAUUCUCAGUACGA